rnacentral:rRNA from 1 species
UACGUAGGGGGCAAGCGUUGUUCGGAAUUACUGGGCGUAAAGGGCUCGUAGGCGGCCUGCUAAGUCGGAUGUGAAAUCCCUCGGCUCAACAGGAGACUGCAUCCGAUACUGGCGGGCUUGAAUCCGGGAGAGGGAUGUGGAAUUCCAGGUGUAGCGGUGAAAUGCGUAGAUAUCAGGAGGAACACCCGUAGCGAAGGCGGCACUCCGGGCCGGUACUGACGCUGAGGAGCGAAAGCGUGGGGAGCAAACAGG